rnacentral:lncRNA from 1 species
AUAGGCAAAACUGAAAUGGAACAGGGGCAGAAAAUAGCACACUUUUACUCUACGCAACUGUUGCUUUUUCAUGCAUGUUUUUAAGCGUCACACUGAGCCUGGAAGUUAACACAGAAUCAGAUCAAUCUUCAGGAAUUUUACUGGGAUAAUUAUCCAAAUAAAUUGCAAGCAUUCUAUCCAAAUGGAGCUCUUUCUGAGAUGAAGAGAAUUCUCAAUGUCAAGAUUUGAACAAGAAGAGAAUGGAAUACACAAUAUGGACAUCCAUAAAAAUUCAUCAGAGAGCAUUUUACUACUGAGCUGCAAAGGGAAAAACUUAAAAUGGAUAUGAAAAGUGAAGAAAGUGAUCAUAGGAGAAAACCAUUUCAGAUAUCUGUGGAUAUCUCUCCAGAACUUCAUGUAUAUAUGACAAGAGCACCUCAAAGGCAGCAGCCUCAAGGAGCAGCCAUGGCCCCAGACUUGUCGCACGGAUGCAGAAAACUUAAUGGAGGAGGCUGAGGUCAGAAUGGGAAGAGUUUUUAAAAAAUAAAAAGGGGAGCUAAUAUGUGAGGAA